UACGUAGGGGGCUAGCAUUGUCCGGAAUCAUUGGGCGUAAAGAGCGUGUAGGCGGCCCGGUAAGUCCGCUGUGAAAGUCGGGGGCUCAACCCUCGGAUGCCGGUGGAUACUGUCGGGCUCGAGUACGGAAGAGGCGAGUGGAAUUCCUGGUGUAGCGGUGAAAUGCGCAGAUAUCAGGAGGAACACCUAUUGCGAAGGCAGCUCGCUGGGACGUUACUGACGCUGAGACGCGAAAGCGUGGGGAGCAAACAGG
rnacentral:rRNA from 1 species